GGAAAUUAGACAACACUCUCAGACUCGUCCUCUGAAAGUAAAAAGGUUUAUUACAGAAAGAUGGUUAAUACAGGAUAGAAUAAAGCAGGAUAGAAUAAUGAGAGCGAUCUGAAGCGCUUGUGCUGAACCACUACUAUAUAAAUGAAAUGCAGAGCAUGACAUAAUUCUGUGUACCGAUAAGAAGCAGUUUGAGGCAGUUUUAGGGUCUUAGAAGAAGUGCAGAAGAACCUUGAACAGAAAAACAUAUUUGUGUCUCUGUAUAGCAGAUAAACAUUCUGUACUGAUCUCAGUGACAUGACAUGGCCUUCUUAGGCCUUAUCCUCAGAUGAACAUACACAGAACAAGAACAAAAUUAUUACAAAGUAAAAAUUGGUAAUUUCCCUCACACUAGCUAACUAACUGUUAACCGGCUAACCGGGUUUUGUUUUUUUUUUUGGUUUUUUUUUUGUUGUUUUUUUUACCUGAGACUAGCUAACCGCUCGUUAAUAUCAAUUUAUUUAAGUUCACUGUCUUUGGAGUUGUGUGUAAACUCAAUUAUGUUAUACAGUAAAAUGUCCAAAUGAGGAUGUUAUUGAAAUUCCUUCUUUCCUUCUGAACCUGCCAAAGUAACUUAAUUGAGAGUUAACUUCUGAAUGAUCGAAUCUGAUUGGUCAGAAAGUGUUCAUUGAUCUUCUAGAACUCCAGUCUGUCUAUGAUGGAGCAGUAUCAUGUUUUUGAGAUGAUAGGCAAAGGCUCGUUUGGCCGAGUGUACAAAGGUCGUCGAAAGUUUAGCGGCCAGGUUGUGGCGUUGAAGUUCAUCCCUAAAGUUGGUCGUUCUGCAAAAGAGCUGCGGAGCCUGCAGAGAGAGAUUGAGAUCAUGCGAGGGCUCAAGCAUCCAAACAUAGUUCUGCUUUUGGACAGUUUUGAGACACAGCUGGAGGUGGUAGUGGUGACCGAGUACGCUGAAGGCGAAUUGUUUAAAAUCCUGGAGUAUGAUGGAAGUUUACCUGAGAGCCAGGUGCGCGAGAUAGCUUGCCAGCUAGUAUCUGCCCUGUAUUACUUGCACUCCCAUCGUAUAUUGCACCGCGACAUGAAACCCCAGAACAUCCUUCUGGGCAAAGGGGGUGUGGUGAAGCUCUGUGACUUUGGAUUUGCUCGGGCCAUGAGUGUGUCCACAUUGGUGUUGACCUCCAUUAAGGGGACUCCUCUGUACAUGUCUCCGGAGCUGGUGAAAAAGAAACCCUAUGACCACACAGCUGACCUCUGGUCUUUGGGCUGCAUCCUCUAUGAGCUCCACACGGGGGAACCGCCGUUCUACACCAACUCCAUCUUUCAGCUUGUGCAGCUGAUCAUCAAGGACCUGGUAAAAUGGCCAGAGAAUAUGAGCCAGGACUGCAUGAGUUUUCUGAAGGGUCUGUUAAAUAAAGACCCUCAGAAGAGGCUGACCUGGCCUGGCCUGCUUCACCAUCCUUUUGUUGCAGAUGGAGUCAUAGUUUUACCAGACGAGGGUUUGACAAGCCCCCUGACGAUAACACCCAGCCCAGACGUCCAAGCCAUGAAGCAGCAGAAGGUGGCAAAAAAAUCUGCACCUCGCAAUGGAAAGGGCAAAGUACUGCACAAAACCAGAGACAUGCAAGACAAAAAGCAGAAAAAUAGACAGGACCAGGUAAAGAAUGGGAAAGCGCUUGUUAACAACCAGCCUCGCACCAAAACUGCCCCGGCUGGAGAAGCCCCCAUCAGCAACCAUUCAUUGGGCAGCACCUUUAUAGUGUGUCGAAAUUCAGCUCAUCCACCAGCCAAUCAGCAUCAAGCCAAUGACGUUGGUGUUGCCAGAAUUGUGGGUUUUUUGUGGCGCCCUCAGAGUGAGUUCGGUGCAGUGUAAGGGCCCCAUCAGCAGGGACUAUGAGAGAGAGUUUCCUUCAGUGGAGGUGGGACCGAGGCUGAUGGUGAGAUGCUCCAGACCUGGACACACCAGCUUGGCUCCUGUUAGGAUGGACAGUGAUAACAAGCCUGCCUGAAGAAGGUUCUGAGGGAACCGAAACCCAAACCUUCCCACAGUUCUUGAAGUAGGGUCAAAGGGCCUCUCCCCUCAUGUCCAUAUAUCAACUCAAAAGGAGAGAAUCCAGUCCAGGCCUGGGGAACUUCUCUAUAUGCAAACAGGAGGUAGCACAGCCACUGGUCCCAAUCCUUGCCUAACUCACUGAUGAAGUUGUGAAGCUUUAAGAGAGUGGACAUAAAUUUAGUACCUUGAUCAGUAAGAAUCUGAGAGGGGAACCCCACUCUAGAAAAAUGUUGCAUCAAGUUGUUGCUACAUACUUGGCCUUAAUGGACUUCAUCAGGAACACUUCAGGCUAUCUGAUUGCAUAAUCGUGGUUAUGACAAGCAUGAAUCGAUUUCCAGCUCAACUCCUUUCUACAGGGCCCACAAUAUCCAUACCCAGUCUUUCAAAUGGUGUAUCAAUGACGGGUAGAAGUUGUAGUGGAGCUCUAUAAGGGCUUUUCAUGGAGACUUUCUGACACUCAGGACAACUCAGUGGACUCAAACUGGCGAUAAAGAACUCCGUGUUGGAAUAAAUACUUUUCGGCAGAGUCAGUGUUCGCAGCAUUGGUCGUAACUUCCUACAGUGUGUUCCUGAGGUAUGGUGCAAGGCUGAAGUCCUCCUGCUGGCGCUGGAUAAUGUUAAUGGACACCUGGAAACUUUGAAACAAGUCACAUGUGGGCUUAGCAGGUAUUCUGGAAACAUUAUAUGCAAGUUUUUCCCGCCGUCUUUCACUACAUGACUUUCGAGACAUUGAAGGUUCCACUUAAAUACCAACAUCAAAGAAAGGCAAGAUACAUAAAUACUUAUGUACAUGUGCUUUUUUUUGUUUUUUAUUUUUAAUAAAUUUGCAAAGAUUUCAAACAAACUUCUUUCACAUUAUCAUUAUGGGGUAUUGUUUGUAGAAUUUUGAGGAAAAUAAUGAAUUUAAUCCAUUUUGGAAUAAGACUGUAACAUAACAAAAUGUGGAAAAAGUGAAGCAUUGUGAAUACUUUCUGGAUGCACUGUAUGUGCUAAAAUUAAUAAAAACAAUCUUGGUUUAUUAACAACAGCCUAGCUCUAAAAUAUUGGACUAUAAAUGGAACAUCGGCUACAACAAACAUAUUUGACAGGGGUUGGGCAUUGCUCGUUUGCUUAGUGGUUUCUUCUAAUUAAAAAAAAUAUUUUAUUAUUAAAGAGGGGUUUGGAGGGAGAGAGACAAAAUAAAACAUUUUUAAUGGCAAUCUAAUCCCGAAUUUUUAUGGAUUUAUUUAUUUAUCUAACUGGUCAUUUUAUUACUCUUAAUAUUUAUGGAUUCUUUUAUUUAUUUAUUUCUUAAAAGCUACCCUUGUACUGACUUUGCAUUCAUGGUUUGCAGGACCUUUGGGACUACCCUAGGAGCAUGUAAAACUCCCCCUAUUUUUGUGUGAGAUAAAACAUAUGAGUGGAAUGUUUUGUCCUUUUUUUAACCAUCCGCUGAUCUGCUGACCCAACCAUGAAUCCACAGUUCAGACAGUGAAGUACACUUAACCCAAAUUCAUAAUUUUCACCCUCCCUUUUAUACUAACCCUUGGUCCUGAACGUUGUACCCUAACCUUAAACCCAAACCCUGAAACUUAGUUCCUAACCUAUAACCUUAACGUUCCACCAGAGAACUCAUCUAAAUUGCCAAACCUCCUCAAGAAUGUGAUGAAAUAAAACACAGCUUCCAACCCCAGACAUAUUAUAAUAAAAAGGGGUGUACAUCUGGCUUGGUUGGAUCUUUAUUUAUUGAUCUUUUAUGAUAUUCAUAAAGCAUUUAAAUGACUCUUUAAGUUUUAUUUUGUACCCUUAUUUCUUUUAUCACGAUUAGUGCUGGUUUUGGUUCUUCAUUCCCUUUCUGUUUCUAUAAAUAAAGUCUUUAAACAGUGUGCACACUGAAGA